CGGGGCGCCCGCGGGUCACAUUUAGGGGCCCGUCUGGAGUCCUUUCAUGCUAAAUUGGAUGAAGGCAGAAGCACUGGAGCUGAGCGGAGUGGAGAUGUCACAGCGCUCUCCGGCCUGUGUGCGGAGGCCAGACGCUUCAGCUCCAAGAGGAGAGAAAGAUGAAUGAGUCCGGGUGCCGUGGAAUCCAGUGGCGGUGGAGAUAAGCUGUGUUACGUGUGGAAGAGGAACCUUUUUUCCCUCGACUCUGCUGCUGCGAUAGUGAGGAGCACCUGCACAUAGAUGAGAGGAGGGCGCCUCCCUGUAAGCAGGCAACAAAGCCAAUCUCCCACAGGACUCUUUCUGCGACGUCCCGCCUCUCUUUGGAGGUGUUGUACAGUCGCACAUCCGUCAGCAGAGGCCGUCCCAGUGUGUCUCGCAGCUCUGCACUGGUCCCAUGAAUAAAUCUGUGCCUUCCUGCGCCCUGAUGCCUCUGAGAAGCGACUUGCACGUCGUCUCACGCGGUAAUGACUCUCUUGUCAUUCAUUGUGCACACAGAAGAUCCCUCAGAGCGGUAAAACAUCUGCUCGGCGUCUGGAGUUUCCGCGGAGGAAAAAUCAGGGACAACCACCCUGCAGAGGACCACCACUGUGUCCCUAAAAGGCCGUGGUUUGAAGAUGUCCUGGCUAAAUGUGGGGAGAUUUACACAGCCGUUAAAAUGAUGAAGAGUUGAGAGCAAAGUGCACGAGGACAACAGGAAGAGUCGCUAGUUCAACAUGUUCCACCUCCAAGAUGGUCACAUGUGAGUAGUUUUGUGUUUGAAAUACAAUUAGACAACAGGGUCUAAAAUACACGCUUUCCAAAGUGAUUACACAUUAGUUGUAAGAUUUAGUCUUUAGAAAAAAUAAUCGAUUAAUCGCAAUUGAUGAAUGGGAAAAUCUGCGAUUAAUUUUUAUUUUGUUUAACGACAGCUCUAAUAUUUUUUCAAUAAUAAACAUCUUUCUAAAUGUCUAAACGGUAAUGAGGCACACACAUGUUGUAUCCGUACAGUCACUGACAACUCAAAAACAAAAGCUUUACAUUCAGUCUGAAAAUGAAAUGCUAGAAACGUGCGUUCAUUUGUAAUUUAAAAUGUGUAGGAAGCGUGUAACACAACGAAUGACUCAUUCCCUGUGUUCUGCUCCUUUUCAUCCACCCUGAAGGAUCUUAUUUGAGCGCUACCCAAACUAUAAAUACAGCUGAGCCACGCUUUGAGAGCUUUUGAAUUCAAAUGGUUCUUUUAGGGGAAAAACCAGCCGUGGAUUGACUUACAAGCUGACUUCCAAUGAGCUGGUUUGCAUGCAGCGGGAGGAGGCUGGUGCUCCCUUUUCAAUGACCCGCAAUGGCUGAGUGUGUUAGCUUGUGAUUUAAAGGUCUCAACCUACCGAGAGGCGUUAUUUAAAAAUGCAGAGCAUGGUUUUGUGCGUUUUAUGACUUUCAGGAGGGAUGUGGAUAACAGGCAUUUAUGGCACUGAAGUUUAGAGAAAGCCGUUUUUUCUUCCAAAAUAGUUCAAGGUUUAAUCCUCUCAUCUGACUCUCGUCAAGAAUACGAACGUGUAUUCCCUAAAUUGCUGAAUUUGAGGAACGCAGUAGAGUCCACAAGAGUCAAUUUGAAAUAAAAAAAGCCCUGCUUGCCCAACACUGUUAAACAGUAGGAAUUAGUAUCAAAUUAGCCUCGCAGAGCCCUGGACAGCUUGGUUCUCAGCAAACUGAUUUAAUAAUAUAAAACUGCUAAAUCAGAAAUCAAUAAUGAGAAAGCAGCUGUAAUUAAAGAGAUUCACAGAUGAUGGUCCAACGGGGAGAUGUGGGCAGUCAAUAAAAGAUGGUUGCCGAUAUUUGCUUUGUCUCAACACAAAUGGGGGAUUAUAACGUUUAACUGUGCCAGCAGUGGUCGCUAUGGAAACACGAUGUUCAAUUGAAACAAAAAAGCCACUUAAUCUUGUUAUAUUCUAUUGCACCUUCCAGAAAUUGGCUGUUCGUAUUAAGAAUGGUUCUCCCUCCUUCGCAG
ensembl:lncRNA